UACGAAGGGGGCUAGCGUUGCUCGGAAUCACUGGCGUAAAGGGCGCGUAGGCGGCCAUUCAAGUCGGGGGUGAAAGCCUGUGGCUCAACCACAGAAUUGCCUUCGAUACUGUUUGGCUUGAGUUUGGUAGAGGUUGGUGGAACUGCGAGUGUAGAGGUGAAAUUCGUAGAUAUUCGCAAAGAACACCAGUGGCGAAGGCGGCCAACUGGACCAACACUGACGCUGAGGCG
rnacentral:rRNA from 1 species